CGGCGGGUUCGGCCGCAGAUAUGCAUUUUUCGACAUUGGAGAAGGAGGGUUAAAUUGGUAUGAAUAUGACAAUUCCUAUUUUACCCGAUAACCCCAAUUCUGCCUGAAUUGAGACAUUGAUGAUGGUGGCAAAUUAUUAUGCGACACCGGCAGCGACAGCGAUAGCGGAAAUGACCAAGAGGUAGAAAUUUACAAAAGCCGCAUAACAGUUCGCCACCACCAUCGAUGUCUCAGUUCAGAAUUAGGGUUAUCGGUUGAACGAGGGAUCGCCAUAUUUGUACCAAUUCAUCCCUCCUCCUCCUGUGUCGAGACAUCCAUAUCUGCCGCCGCCUCCGCCAGAUUCCUUGUAUCCACAUCCUCCUCCUCCUCUACCCUCUCCGACAUCGUGCCCACCUCCACCCCCUCCUCAUUCGUCUUUUCUCAACCACUGUCCUCUCCGCUAAUAAAUCGGUAUCCGCCUUCGUCCCUUCCUCCACCUUCUAAGCCACGAUUCUGUCUUCUUCCUCCUUCUUUGUGUUCUCACCCACCUUCUCAGAUUGUUCGAUUUAAACAAACAGCUCCAUUCCCAGUUAAAAAAUCCAAUGAGACUAGGGAAGAGAGGAGGUUGAGGAAGAAUAAGGAAUUCGAAAAAGUGAGACAAAAACAGAGAAUAAGGGAAGCACAGAAUAGAAUAAUAGAGAAAACCAAAUUGAUAUUUUUUUGGUAUGAAGGUCAUGGGUGAAUUAGAUCAGACAAAGUAUUGCCCCUUUGCCAAGUGGUGGCAUGACAGGCAACCUGUUGAAGAAGCAGUAGCUGAAGUAUAAAGACUCGGUUGUGUUUGUGACUUUUGAUGGUGCUCCAACUGCUGGUUCAGAAACCUACAACAAGCUGUAUAAAACUGUUCGUGAUGCAUAUGAAUCACAGGUACGAGGUGAUGAUGCAAACGAUCCUACUACAUACGUUAGCGGCAUUUGGUGGAACAGUGGCCCAUUACAUGCCUGUUCCAGCAAAGCUUGUUUUGCAAACAACGAUACCUGAAGAGGCAAAAUCAAAUAAUGAAGUCGAACAUUUCCCAGAUGCUUCCAGAGUUACAGGGGUUAUACAACAACUUUGAAGGGGAAGUGGUUGAAGUCAGAGAUGCAAAAAAAUCACUCAUGAAGAUGUUGUUGGCAAACAACCGAACAGUAGGCAUGAUUGACUCCUUCACAGUUCUUUAUGUUGAUCAGAUCAUUUUCAGCAAGAAAAUGGAAAAAGAGAAAGGGUAGGUACAUGAGAGAAGUUGCAUAAAUAAACAAUGCAUUGUACCAUAUGAGCAUUUCGCUCUUUGGAAAGAUUGAACUUUCAAGUAAUUUGCAUAUGCGAAUGAUUGUUUGGACUGACAA